GACAUGCGUAGCAUGCAGUCGAGCGGACAGAUGGGAGCUUGCUCCCUGAUGUUAGCGGCGGACGGGUGAGUAACACGUGGGUAACCUGCCUGUAAGACUGGGAUAACUCCGGGAAACCGGGGCUAAUACCGGAUGCUUGUUUGAACCGCAUGGUUCAAACAUAAAAGGUGGCUUCGGCUACCACUUACAGAUGGACCCGCGGCGCAUAGCUAGUUGGUGAGGUAACGGCUCACCAAGGCAACGAUGCGUAGCCGACCUGAGAGGGUGAUCGGCCACACUGGGACUGAGACACGGCCCAGACUCCUACGGGAGGCAGCAGUAGGGAAUCUUCCGCAAUGGACGAAAGUCUGACGGAGCAACGCCGCGUGAGUGAUGAAGGUUUUCGGAUCGUAAAGCUCUGUUGUUAGGGAAGAACAAGUACCGUUCGAAUAGGGCGGUACCUUGACGGUACCUAACCAGAAAGCCACGGCUAACUACGUGCCAGCAGCCGCGGUAAUACGUAGGUGGCAAGCGUUGUCCGGAAUUAUUGGGCGUAAAGGGCUCGCAGGCGGUUCCUUAAGUCUGAUGUGAAAGCCCCCGGCUCAACCGGGGAGGGUCAUUGGAAACUGGGGAACUUGAGUGCAGAAGAGGAGAGUGGAAUUCCACGUGUAGCGGUGAAAUGCGUAGAGAUGUGGAGGAACACCAGUGGCGAAGGCGACUCUCUGGUCUGUAACUGACGCUGAGGAGCGAAAGCGUGGGGAGCGAACAGGAUUAGAUACCCUGGUAGUCCACGCCGUAAACGAUGAGUGCUAAGUGUUAGGGGGUUUCCGCCCCUUAGUGCUGCAGCUAACGCAUUAGCACUCCGCCUGGGGAGUACGGUCGCAAGACUGAAACUCAAAGGAAUUGACGGGGGCCCGCACAAGCGGUGGAGCAUGUGGGUUUAUUUCGAAGCAACGCGAGAACCUUACCAGGUCUUGACAUCCUCUGACAAUCCUAGAGAUAGACGUCCCCUUCGGGGGCAGAGUGACAGGUGUUGCAUGGAUUGUCGUUCAGCCUCCUGUCCGUGGAGAUGUUGGGUUUAAGUCCCG
rnacentral:rRNA from 2 species